rnacentral:lncRNA from 1 species
GGGGAUAGGCAUCAAAUACCUUUGUGUGCUUUUUCCACCACGAGUCAUCUGCCACGACCGUGCCUCUACCCCGUCCAAGUCCACUCUAUUUGUUUGCAUACAACCAGAAGGCAUAGAUGCAUCGAAGGGUGUCCCAUCGGUUUCUUAAACUGCUACUUGGAGUGAUGCAGUUCUCUUCUCUCUUCAAAUUUUGCAGCUAUGUUGUUGUAGGCCCUAUUAGUCAAGUGUCCUUUGUUGC